CUGAGGAAUACAUUUUUUUAAGUACUGGUAAAGGUGUGCAAGAAUUAUUUACAUUUAUGAGACACAAAUAUUUGCGACAUAAAUAAUCAGGACUAGUUAAAUUGCUUUCAUUGUAGCAGUGGCAAAUGCCUUUUACAAAUACGCUGAUAUGAAAUGCCCAAAGAGAAUAGAUAGCAAUUGUACACAAACAUCUGUGAAGUUCCAAUACAUUACCAAACAAAAACGUUGUUUAAACAGGAACCGCCUUAACGAAGUGAGUGAUAGAAUUUAUGAAAAUAUCAUACAAAAUACAAUAGGCCGAGACACAAUGAAAUGCAAAAAGAACGUCAAAAAAAAAAAAAACAAAAAAAAAAACGCCUCUCUUACCUCAUCUUCAUUUUCUGUAACGUCAAUUGUUAUCAUGCUCGAGCCAAAAUGAAAACUGCGCUCCUUUUUCAGAGUCCCACCAGCAGGAAGCGUGUUUUCAUUAUAAGAGCUCACAAACUUAAAGUCACUGGUGCGCGAGCCGGUGGUUAGAUACGCGUCAUAAUUGUAAGAGCUGCGGAGAGUUCCUGCUCCAUCCACCUCUGCAUAGUUGGGAGGGAGAUAGGCGCUGGGAACAGCAACUGCUCCAUCAAACAACAGUCUGGGCUUUCUCCUGUGACAAAACUUUACUGCCACAAUCAGUAUGAUGAACGUCAGGAAGAAGGUGGACACGCAAACUAAUGCAAUGAUCAAAUAUGACGUUAAUUUAGAGUUGUUUUCCUCAUAAGUCAUAUCUUUCAGUUCAGGAACUUCAGAAAGGUUGUCAGAAAUGAGUAAAUUUACAGCACAGGUUGUAGACAGAGAGGGCUGACCGUUGUCCUUCACUGAAAUAACAAGGUUCUGCUUCAUAUUGUCAGAUUCAGAAAUGUCUCGUUGUGUUUUGAUCUCUCCACUGUGGAGACCAAUGGAGAAAAGUCCAGGAUCAGUAGAUUUGACAAUCUGAUAGGACAGCCAUGCAUUCUGUCCAGAGUCAGCAUCUACAGCGAUCACCUUGGACACCAGAGAGCCUGAGAGAGUCGCUUUAGGGACCAUUUCAGUCAUUAAAGACUUUCCAUCAGGAACAGGGUAUAAUAUCUGUGGAGAGUUAUCAUUCUCAUCUGUUAUGAAGACUUUCACAGUCACGUUACUGCUCAGCGGUGGAGAUCCAUUGUCUCUGGCAACAACUUUGACAGUGAAGUUUCUGAACUGCUCAUAGUCAAAUGAUCUUACAGCAUGAAUCACCCCUGUAUCUCCAUUAAUAGAUAGAAAUGAGGAAACUGGGACCCCACUGACUUCACUGGGAACCAGAGAGUACAGUACAGUCCCGUUCUGUCUCCAGUCUGGGUCAUUUGCACUGACAGAACAAACAGAAGUGUCUGGUUUGUUAUUUUCACUUAUAUAAGCGCUGUAGGACUGCUGCUCAAAUACAGGAGGAUUGUCAUUCACAUCUGAGACAAAUAAAUGAAUUGUCAUGGAGGUGGAUAAUGGUGGAGAUCCCCCAUCUGUGGCUGUGAUGGUAAUGUUAUAAUCAGAUUCUUUCUCUCUGUCUAGAGCUUUUGUAGUCACUAGAGAGAAAUAAUUUUUAAAAGAUGGGUUCAGUCUGAAAGGAACAUUUUGCUGAACAGAACAACGAAUAUGCCGGUUUUCUCCUGAAUCUUUGUCUUGAACAUUAAUGAUUCCCACCUCAGUGCCUGGCUCAGAGUUUUCAGUUACUGGACUGUUCAAAGAUUUAAGGAUGAUUCUAGGUGGAUUAUCAUUAACAUCAGUUACAUCUAUUAUAACCUUUGCAGUUGAUGCUAACCCAGAACCAUCCUGAGCGUGGAUGCCCAUUUCAUAGUUUUUUUCAUUUUCAUAAUCAGUUUCACCGAUCAGCAAAAUUUUUCCUGUUUUCUUAUCAAUAGAAAAUAAUUUUGCAGCUUUAUCUGAUAUUCUACUGAAUUCAUACGUCACUUCCCCGUUUGGACCUUCAUCAGCAUCAGUGGCGCUCACUCUGAUUAUUUCUGUUCCUGAAGGUGUAUUUUCAGCCAGAGUGACUUUAUAAACAGACUCACUAAACACUGGGACAUUAUCAUUAGCAUCGAGAACAGUGAUGUGUAUGACAGCAGUGCCAGACCUCUGCGGUGAACCACCAUCAGUGGCUGUGAGGAUCAUAUCUAUCUCCUUCUGCUGCUCACGAUCCAACUCCUUUUCCAACACGAGUUCAGCGUAUUUUCCUCCAUCUGCACUAACAUGAACAUUCAAAACAAAAUGUUCGUUUCCCUCCAGUGAAAAGCUAUUGACCGUAUUAUGCCCAAUAUCUGAAUCAUGAGCCUCAUGCAAACGGAAUUUCUGGCCUUUGUCUGCUGAUUCUGUAAUUUCCAAAUUAAUACGUUCAUUUGGAAAUCGUGGUGCGUUGUCAUUUAUAUCCUGAAUUUGCAGAAUUAUAUGGUGCACUUCAAGUGGGUUUUCCAGGACAAGCUCAUAUUUGAGAAUGCAGGACAUUCGAGAUCCACAAAGCUCCUCUCGGUCUAUUGUCUCUGCCACGAUUAAAUCACCAGUAUUCAGAUUAAUAUCACAAUACCGUUUGCUGCUGUCCUCCGUGUCUAUCCGAGCAUUACGAGCAGACAUUUUUUUCACAUCCAUCCUCAGAUCCUUGGCUAUAUUUCCAGUUACAUACUGGCGCUUCGUUUCUUCCGGAAUAUUGUAGCUCAGAUCAUCGCAGACGGUUCUCAGAGCAAAGAGAAGGAGAGCAACGAAAUACGUGAAAAAACGAAAUGAAAAUAAUCCGUGUUCCAUUUUUGAAGAUUUGAUGCUGCAAAUACUCAACAGUUAGUGACACUUUAACGGAUGAUUUUCCAAUGUUCUAUCGGUGUCUACGGACGGUUAGUCCAUUUUUGCGCAACGUUUAUUCUAGCAGACAGAGCUCAUAUUGCAUGCUUUAAUUGUGGGAGGAGAGACGUAUCACACUGCAUUCUUGGUGAAUAGCGACACUGUGAGUAUUUUUCUGCUCAUUGCGUCAUGCAUGAAAAGGCGACGGGUAUGGACCAGAAUAAGUCCGUUGUGUUUUGUUGUUGUUGUUGUUGUUUCCCAAAGGGUGCUAUUUUGCAAUAUUUAUUUACUUUAAAAAAA
ensembl:lncRNA